rnacentral:lncRNA from 12 species
UGGGAGCAGUGCUGGUUCCUGCUGCCUUGCUCCAGGAGGGGAUGUGAAGGAUGGCAUUGGAGGAGCUGGGUUGUGGCUCUGGUGUUGUUCUGCCAGUAGAAACCCUCCAUUUUGUGCAUGGAGAUGAG